rnacentral:rRNA from 1 species
UACAUGUGGGGCAAGCGUUGUUCGGAAUUACUGGGCAUAAAGCGUGCGCAGGCGGUUAUGUAAGACAGGUGUGAAAUCCCCGGGCUUAACCUGGGAACUGCAUUUGUGACUGCAUAGCUAGAGUACGGCAGAGGGGGAUGGAAUUCCGCGUGUAGCAGUGAAAUGCGUAGAUAUGCGGAGGAACACCGAUGGCGAAGGCAAUCCCCUGGGCCUGUACUGACGCUCAUGCACGAAAGCGUGGGGAGCAAACAGG